CCUCGGGAGGCAGCAGUGGGGAAUAUUGCACAAUGGGCGCAAGCCUGAUGCCGCCAUGCCGCGUGUGUGAAGAAGGCCUUCGGGUUGUAAAGCACUUUCAGCGGGGAGGAAGGCGGUGAGGUUAAUAACCUCAUCGAUUGACGUUACCCGCAGCAGAAGCACCGGCUAACUCCGUGCCAGCAGCCGCGGUAAUACGGAGGGUGCAAGCGUUAAUCGGAAUUACUGGGCGUAAAGCGCACGCAGGCGGUCUGUCAAGUCGGAUGUGAAAUCCCCGGGCUCAACCUGGGAACUGCAUUCGAAACUGGCAGGCUAGAGUCUUGUAGAGGGGGGUAGAAUUCCAGGUGUAGCGGUGAAAUGCGUAGAGAUCUGGAGGAAUACCGGUGGCGAAGGCGGCCCCCUGGACAAAGACUGACGCUCAGGUGCGAAAGCGUGGGGAGCAAACAGGAUUAGAUACCCUUGUAGUC
rnacentral:rRNA from 1 species